AUUGUAGCCCAGUGAUGUUAGGUGUGGUCAUUAUAAUCUCCUCCCCUGGACAGGCUGUAUGAGUAGUCUAUCAGGUACUCCGACUAACAGUAAACUGAUAUACCUCCCAACGGUCAUUGUAAUGGUCUCAAGGAUGCCUUACUUUAGACUCUUGAAGGAAGCACUAUCUGGUAUGUAUAGACUGUUAUCUGAGGAGGAGAGGGAGGACUCAUUUUGGGAA